GCUUAUCAGACGCUGCAGAUUUUAUUGUAAAUCACAUGAUCAGGAAGUGCUGGGAGGUAUUUAUACGAUAUGAAGGCUGAACUAUAGCCUCAGUGACGCUGCAGAGCACCAGGAGCAUGGAUCGGUCUGAAGAUCAGAACACAGAAAGCGCUGCAGGAUCAACAACUGACACCGGUAAAUGGUUCUCAUUUGGUGGUUUUUUUUCUCGGACACCUACCUGGGACACAGUGAAGGUGAAGGUCCACUUCAUAUCCAAACAAGAUACAUUUGGUGCUGCUGAUGCCAUAAAGAAAAAGUUAAAGAGCAACAUGGGGUCAUCACUACAGGAAGAAAAAAGAAGGGAUGAAUGCAACAUGAUUGUUGUUUUCUGUCCAGUCGACCGCAGUGUUGAAUCAGAUGUAAACUCAAUGAUGGAAGCUACAGCAGUUUCACCUUCUGGUAAACCCGUCAUUCUAGUUCUGAUGCAUCACACCAGAGACCCGGACUAUGUCACUGGACCAUAUGACCCUCGUGAAUCGUGGAAAAAUGUUGUGCAUUACGUUUAUGUUCUGUACCAUGAGACUACACUAGGAUUACUGAAUUGUUCUCAAAAUGACCAGGCAAUCAAUGACAUUCAACAAGUCCUACUAAAAAAACAACAGUUUGUUUGAAGUGUGCUUUAUCGGUCUUGUUUAGAAAUGUUUUAGCUCAAUAGUCCAUUUUUUUAUUGCAUUUCUUGACUAAAUACAACAGGAAACAUACACCUACAGAGCUUCUCACCCUAAGCAGGGAAUUUCUAUUCCAACUGUUAAGAAUUGUAUAUAUAUAU